CCUACGGGGGGCAGCAGUGGGGAAUAUUGGACAAUGGGGGGAACCCUGAUCCAGCCAUGCCGCGUGUGUGAAGAAGGCCCUCGGGGUGUAAAGCACUUUCAGUGAGGAAGAACGCCUGGUGGUUAAUACCCAUCAGGAAAGACAUCACUCACAGAAGAAGCACCGGCUAACUCCGUGCCAGCAGCCGCGGUAAUACGGAGGGUGCGAGCGUUAAUCGGAAUUACUGGGCGUAAAGCGCGCGUAGGUGGCUUGAUAAGCCGGUUGUGAAAGCCCCGGGCUCAACCUGGGAACGGCAUCCGGAACUGUCAAGCUAGAGUGCAGGAGAGGAAGGUAGAAUUCCCGGUGUAGCGGUGAAAUGCGUAGAGAUCGGGAGGAAUACCAGUGGCGAAGGCGGCCUUCUGGACUGACACUGACACUGAGGUGCGAAAGCGUGGGUAGCAAACAGGAUUAGAUACCCGGGUAGUC
rnacentral:rRNA from 1 species